GCAUAAUCACUUGUCUUUUAAAUAGGGACUAGUAUGAAUGGCAUCACGAGGGUUUAACUGUCUCUUAUUCCCAAUCGGUGAAAUUGACCUUCCCGUGCAGAGGCGGGAAUAAUAAUACAAGACGAGAAGACCCUGUGGAGCUUAAGACCCGCAACUUAACGCAUACCACUACCUGCCCUACUGGAACAAAAAUGUAUAAUGCCCUGAGUUGCAGUCUUUGGUUGGGGUGACCUCGGAGCAUAAAACAACCUCCGAAUGAAAUAACCUAGAUAAACCCAUCUAAGUGUACUACUACCAGUAAUUGACCCAUUUUUUGAUCAACGGAACAAGUUACCCCAGGGAUAACAGCGCAAUCCUAUUUGAGAGCCCAUAUCGAAAAUUAGGGUUUACGACCUCGAUGUUGGAUCAGGACAUCCAAAUGGUGCAGCCGCUAUUAAUGGUUCGUUUGUUCAACGAUUAAAGUCCUACGUGAUCUGAGUUCAGACCGGAGAAAUCCAGGUCGGUUUCUAUCUGUACGUGAUUUCUCCCAGUACGAAAGGACAAGAGAAAUGGGGCCAACAUACCCAAUGAGCCCUAGAAUUAACAUAUGAAUUCAUCUAAAUAUUUUACUUCAACCCAUUUUACCCCAAGAACAGGGCU
rnacentral:rRNA from 1 species